GCGUGCAGCCCCCACACUCACUCUUAGGGGCUCCAGACCAGCUUCUUGAGUCGUCUUAUGUCGGCGGGGGCGCAGUCGGACAAGAGCCAAUCCAAGAAAAAGGGACUGAGUGUUGAAGAGAAGAGAACUCGUAUGAUGGAAAUAUUUUUUGAAACAAAAGAUGUGUUCCAGUUAAAGGAUAUGGAGAAGAUUGCUCCGAAAGAGAAAGGAAUUACUGCCAUGUCGGUAAAGGAGAUCCUGCAAAGCUUAGUUGAUGAUGGUAUGGUGGACACUGAUAGGAUUGGAACUUCCAAUUAUUUUUGGGCUUUUCCAAGUAAAGCUCUUCAUGCCAGGAAGCGUAAAUUGGAAGCACUGGAGACUCAGUUGGCUGAAAGUAGUCAGAAGAAAGAGAGGUUACAGCAAAGCAUUGAGAAAUCAAAAAUCGGACGCCAAGAGACUACAGAACGUGCUGCCCUAACAAAGGAACUUGCUGCUCUCCGGCAGAAAAAAGAGCACCUAACGGCAGAAAUAGAGAAAUACAAAGAAUGUGAUCCAGAUGUUGUUGAAGAAAUCCCCUGGAGAGCUGAUCAGCAUAGGUGACCAUGCAGAGCUCAUCAGCACAGGUAACCAUGCAGUCCGAGAAUCGAAAAAGAGCUCCAGCAUGGACUAUAUGGGAGGUACUGGAUCUGAUUGCUGUAUGGGGAGGCAAUUCCGUGCUAGCAGAACUACGUUCCAAAAGAUGAAAUGCCAAAACAUUUGAAAAAAAAUCUCUGAGGGCAUGAUGGAGUGAGGCCACAAUAGGGACUCAAUACAGUGCUGUGUGAAAGUUAAGGAGCUCAGACAAGACUACCAGAAAUCCAAAGAAGCAAACGGACGCUCUGGGGCAGAGCCAAAGAUAUGCCGCUUUUACGCUGAGCUGCAUGCAAUUCUAGAAGGGGCCGCUCCCACCCUUGACCGUGGACUCUGAGGAGGAGGUAUUCACAGCCAUGCCUGAGGAUUUUGUGGACGGGGAAGAUGAGGAGGAGGAGGACGAGCUUGAGGAGAGUACACAGCACACCGUUGUCCCCAACAGCCAGAAUCUUUUUCUCACUCUGACUGAAAUACCCUCCCAAGCGGGUAUCCCUGACCAUGAAGCCGGAGAAGGGAGCUCUGCUGCAAAUUUUUCAAGCCUCUUUUCUCCAUCCCGAAGGCUAUUUCAGAUAAGGUGGCAAAAAAAAACGCACAUGUGAUGAAAUGGUCUCUGAGAUCAUGCAGUUGAACCGCAAUGAAAGAGCUCAUCUGAAUGAGUGGAAGGACACAGUAUCACAGUACAGGAAAGCGGCCAAUGCACAUGAGAACAGGAGGGAGGAACGUGAGGACAGGAGGGAUGAUCAAGAUGAGAGGUGUUGGCAUGAAGAUCAGAGGAGGCAGGAUGCAACGCUGGGGCUACUGUGGGAUCAAACGGACAUGCUCCGGCAUCUGGUGGAGCUUCAGGAACGGCAGCAGGAUCACUGAGUGCUGCUGCAGCCCCUGUUUAACCGCCCUCCCCUCUGCCCAAGUUCCAUAGCCUGCUCACCCAGAUACCCAAGAACGCGGGGCGGGGGGGAGGCUCCGUGCACCCUGCCACUCCACCCCAGUGGACAGCCCAAGCAACAGAAGGCUGGCAUUCAACAAGUUUUGAAGUGGCCUUUUCCUUCCCUCCUCCCACACUCCACCGGGCUACCUU